GAUGAACGCUGGCGGCGUGCCUAAUACAUGCAAGUCGAACGAAACUUCUUUAUCACCGAGUGCUUGCACUCACCGAUAAAGAGUUGAGUGGCGAACGGGUGAGUAACACGUGGGCAACCUGCCCAAAAGAGGGGGAUAACACUUGGAAACAGGUGCUAAUACCGCAUAACCAUAGUUACCGCACGGUAACUAUGUAAAAGGUGGCUAUACUACCGCUUUUGGAUGGGCCCGCGGCGCAUUAGCUAGUUGGUAGGGUAAAGGCUUACCAAGGCAAUGAUGCGUAGCCGAAUUGAGAGGUUGAUCGGCCACAUUGGGACUGAGACACGGCCCAAACUCCUACGGGAGGCAGCAGUAGGGAAUCUUCCACAAUGGGCGAAAGCCUGAUGGAGCAACGCCGCGUGGGUGAAGAAGGUCUUCGGAUCGUAAAACCCUGUUGUUAGAGAAGAAAGUGCGUGAGAGUAACUGUUCACGUUUCGACGGUAUCUAACCAGAAAGCCACGGCUAACUACGUG
rnacentral:rRNA from 1 species